ensembl:lncRNA
GUAUGGGACUUGCUCGGGAAGAAGGUCUCCAAAGAAGUGUGUUUUUGGUUGUAAGGGAAAGAUAACUUGUUCAGCUUCCUAAGGAACCCAGCGUUAUGUAAACGGCAGAUACAGUUGUUUUCCGGGGCAGCAAAGGAGUUUCACAAGUUUUGUUGUUGACGAAUGUUUUAUAAACAAGGCCCAGUUCGAUGCUGGAUUUGCACAUCGUUUGAUUCUGAAGAUGGAGCGGUCCCAGCUAUAAAAGAUCCUGGUCGUGAUUCAGAACUGCAGACGAGAAAUUGGACUGCACCUCCCUUUCCUGCCAGUUUGGUUGCCGUAUUGAAAGAGAUGGUGAAAUGGGCUUUUUGUGUCCUCCAGGGCUCCACUUGGCUUCAGAUAACAGAACCUGCAAAGAAUGUACAGGGGUGAAGAAUGAGGUCAGGAGAAGAGUUAAAAACCUUCAUGAAACCAUUUUUAUCUGGAAUUCCCAAAGACUCUUCAAAAACCGGGCCAGAAAACUUUCAUGAAUGCUGCAUAAAAGCUGCAUCUACAGGAGUAUUUACACCUAGUCACUUCAUGUGUUUUUACUAAAUAGAUUGCUAUUUGAUCAUGAAAACACAAGUGUAAAUGC